ACCUGCAGUCGACGCGAAAGGGGCUUCGGCCCUGAGUAGAGUGGCGAACGGGUGAGUAACACGUGGGUGAUCUACCUCUGAGUGGGGGAUAACCUUCCGAAAGGAGGGCUAAUACCGCAUGACGUCCUGGGUUUGAAGACCUGGACACCAAAGUCGGGGACCGCAAGGCCUGACGCUUGGAGAGGAGCCCGCGCCUGAUUAGCUAGUUGGUGAGGUAACGGCUCACCAAGGCAACGAUCAGUAGCCGGCCUGAGAGGGCGGACGGCCACACUGGGACUGAGACACGGCCCAGACUCCUACGGGAGGCAGCAGUGGGGAAUUGUUCGCAAUGGGCGCAAGCCUGACGACGCAACGCCGCGUGGAGGAUGAAGGUCUUCGGAUUGUAAACUCCUGUUGAUCGGAAAGAACAGGUUUCGACCUAACACGUCGGAGCACUGACGGUACCGGUUGAGGAAGCCACGGCUAACUCUGUGCCAGCAGCCGCGGUAAUACAGAGGUGGCAAGCGUUGUUCGGAAUUACUGGGCGUAAAGGGCGCGUAGGCGGCCUUCUCAGUCGGACGUGAAAUCCCCAGGCUUAACUUGGGAACUGCGUCCGAUACUGGAUGGCUUGAGUGCGGGAGAGGGAUGUGGAAUUCCAGGUGUAGCGGUGAAAUGCGUAGAUAUCUGGAGGAACACCGGUGGCGAAGGCGGCAUCCUGGACCGACACUGACGCUGAGGCGCGAAAGCCAGGGGAGCAAACGGGAUUAGAUACCCCGGUAGUCCUGGCCCAAAACGAUGAGUGCUUGGUGUGGCGGGUAUCGAUCCCUGCCGUGCCGAAGCUAACGCAUUAAGCAUUCCGCCUGGGGAGUAC
rnacentral:rRNA from 1 species